rnacentral:rRNA from 1 species
GACGAACGCUGGCGGCGUGCUUAACACAUGCAAGUCGAGCGGAAAGGCCACUUCGGUGGUACUCGAGCGGCGAACGGGUGAGUAACACGUGAGUAAUCUGCCCUUCACUUUGGGAUAACGCCCGGAAACGGGAGCUAAUACCGGAUACGACCUUCAACCGCAUGGUUUGUCGGUGGAAACUUUUUUGGGUGGGGGAUGUGCUCGCGGCCUAUCAGCUUGUUGGUGGGGUAAUGGCCUACCAAGGCUUUGACGGGUAGCCGGCCUGAGAGGGUGACCGGCCACACUAGGACUGAGACACGGCCCAGACUCCUACGGGAGGCAGCAGUGGGGAAUAUUGGACAAUGGGCGGAAGCCUGAUCCAGCAACGCCGCGUGAGGGAUGACGGCCCUUGGGUUGUAAACCUCUUUCAGCACCGACGAAGCGCAAGUGACGGUAGGUGCAGAAGAAGGACCGGCCAACUACGUGCCAGCCGCCGCGGUAAAAC